GGUUGAAAAUUUUGAUUCAAUCUUAUAUAGUCUACAACUGAUAUGAUACAAUAUACAGAUUUUGGGUUAAAACAAAACAUAACCUCACAGAUCUUUAAAGGAGUUUCCAUCUAACAAUCCUUCAAAUGAUAUCUAUGUAAUUAAAGAAACAAAAAGGAAUAAGAUAAAGAAAAUUCGCUUGAGAAGAAGAGAAAAAUUGGAAGGCAGAAAUAGACAUUCCUAUGUUUAAUUACUUGAACGCUUCAAAGUCGAGAAGUUGUUGAAGUUGGUACACUCAAACAAGGCCUUAGCAUUCAUUUCCCUUUCAAACCUCCAAAUAUAGUUGAGUCCAACUAACAGCUCUGUUAUGGCAGCUUCAGUCUUGUCCUGGUUUGCAAAAUACAAAGUCUGCAGCAGGAGAACAUUAGUUUUUGGGAUUAAAUUUUGUUGUUCAAAGCUCCUUUCACUUUGCCAUUUGAUCAUAUUAUGUGCCAAAGGUGGAGAACAUUAGUUUUUGGAAUUAAAUUUUGUUGUUCAAAGCUCCUUUCACUUUGCCAUUUGAUCAUAUUAUGUGCCAAAGGUGAUAACCACCCCAAAAUCUUCAGCAGUGCAUCUUUCCAUUCUCCAGCAAGAACUGGAUCACUAGCCGAAAACCCGACUCCUUUUAGUCUUGAUCUUAAUGAUGAUCUUAUACUAUUUGGCAAC
rnacentral:lncRNA from 1 species